rfam:Burkholderia ubonensis strain MSMB782WGS MSMB782WGS_26, whole genome shotgun sequence.
AAAAAGCCCGCCAUGCGUCAGCAUCAGCGGGCUUCGUGCGGUACGACAGCGGUCGACUCGGGCCGGCUGCCGCCGGCCUUCGCUUUAGCUGUUUUGGGAUGAAGCCCCGCGUCCGCAAGCUGAAAUCAAAUCGACGCAAGGCCACAUCCUAUCACGCCUGUACGACGGCGUGC